rfam:Dipodomys ordii contig_8929, whole genome shotgun sequence.
GGUGGCUUAGUGGUAGAGCAUUUGCCUUGUAUUCAUGAGGCCCAGGAUUCGAUUCCUGAGCACCA